CCUACGGGAGGCAGCAGUGAGGAAUAUUGGUCAAUGGCCGAGAGGCUGAACCAGCCAAGUCGCGUGAGGGAAGACGGCCCUACGGGUUGUAAACCUCUUUUGUCGGGGAGCAAAGCGAGUCACGUGUGACUCAUUGAGAGUACCCGAAGAAAAAGCAUCGGCUAACUCCGUGCCAGCAGCCGCGGUAAUACGGAGGAUGCGAGCGUUAUCCGGAUUUAUGGGGUUUAAAGGGGGGGCAGGGGGAGGUGCAAGUCAGCGGUCAAAUUGUGGGGCCAAACCCCGUACUGCCGUUGAAACUGGAUGCCUUGAGUGCGCGAGAAGUAUGCGGAAUGCGUGGUGUAGCGGUGAAAUGCAUAGAUAUCACGAAGAACUCCGAUUGCGAAGGCAGCAUACCGGCGCGCAACUGACGCUGAUGCACGAAAGCGUGGGUAUCGAACAGGAUUAGAUACCCGUGUAGUC
rnacentral:rRNA from 1 species